UACGUAGGGUGCGAGCGUUAAUCGGAAUUACUGGGCGUAAAGCGUGCGCAGGCGGUUUUGUAAGACUGUCGUGAAAUCCCCGGGCUUAACCUGGGAAUGGCGAUGGUGACUGCAAGGCUAGAGUUUGGCAGAGGGGGGUAGAAUUCCACGUGUAGCAGUGAAAUGCGUAGAUAUGUGGAGGAACACCGAUGGCGAAGGCAGCCCCCUGGGUCAAAACUGACGCUCAUGCACGAAAGCGUGGGGAUCGAACAGG
rnacentral:rRNA from 1 species